GAUUUCAAAUGGAAAAGCCAUAAACAACAAAGUUGUACAACUUAUCAAGAUAUACAACUUUUAUUUUGGUCACUUCUUCAUCCGACAAAGUGAUAGUUAUAUUAUUCAAAAAAUCACAUUUCUCUCAUCUGGUUUAUAAACAUCAACACAACACAGAUAUGUCAAUUUUGUAAACAAUGGUACUAUCACUUUGUCGGAUAAAGAAGUGACCAACAUAAAAGUUGUAGAUCUUGAUAAGUUGUACAACUUUGCUGUUUAUGGCUUUUCCAUUUGAAAUC
rnacentral:pre_miRNA from 1 species